CCGACCUUAGCUCAGCUGGAAGAGCGUCAGACUGUAAUGGUUGUUUAUCUAAAUGUCAUGUGUUCAAUUCACAUAGGUCGGA